rnacentral:rRNA from 1 species
AGAGAUGUGUGAUGACGCAUAUCAAUAAGCGGAGGAAAAGAAACUAACAAGGAUUCCCUUAGUAACGGCGAGUGAAGCGGGAAGAGCUCAAAUUUGAAAUCUUCAAGGUUUUACCUUGACGAAUUGUAGUUUAUAGAAGUGUUUUCUGUUAGUAGAGUGGCAAAAGUUCUUUGGAAUAGGACAUCAUAGAGGGUGAGAAUCCCGUAUUUGGUCAUUCCUCCUAGCGUUGUGAUACACUUUCAACGAGUCGGAUUGUUUGGGAAUGCAGUCCAAAAUGGGUGGUAAAUUUCAUCUAAAGCUAAAUAUUGGCGAGAGACCGAUAGCGAACAAGUACCGUGAGGGAAAGAUGAAAAGAACUUUGAAAAGAGAGUUAAACAGUACGUGAAAUUGUCAAAAGGGAAGCGUUUGACACCAGUGUUGUUUUUCCAAAAAUCAAUUACGAAUGGCUUGAUUUUGUGUUGUAUUGGCCUUAUCAGCUUUCUGCACUUUUUUCGAGUCUUUCUUAAUGCACUUUUCGGUUAACAAGUCAACAUCAAUUUCUUUUGCUGUAAAAGAGUAUUCGGAAGGUGGCUUUCUUUUCGGAGAAAGUGUUUAUAGCCCUAUACUUCUACAAUCGGAGAGAUUGAGGUCCGCAGCGUAGAUCCUUCGGGGUUAGAUACACUUUGUGCUAAGUUGUAGCUUUUCAUAGACAACUUGUUGACUAUGUUUAGUCAUGCGGCUUACUCGCUUAUGCUAUUUUACCUACGCUUAGGAUGUUGACGAUCAGCUGAGCGC